CCUACGGGAGGCAGCAGUGGGGAAUCUUGCGCAAUGGGCGAAAGCCUGACGCAGCCAUGCCGCGUGAAUGAUGAAGGUCUUAGGAUUGUAAAAUUCUUUCACCGGGGACGAUAAUGACGGUACCCGGAGAAGAAGCCCCGGCUAACUUCGUGCCAGCAGCCGCGGUAAUACGAAGGGGGCUAGCGUUGCUCGGAAUUACUGGGCGUAAAGGGAGCGUAGGCGGAUAGUUUAGUCAGAGGUGAAAGCCCAGGGCUCAACCUUGGAAUUGCCUUUGAUACUGGCUAUCUUGAGUGUGGGAGAGGUAUGUGGAACUCCGAGUGUAGAGGUGAAAUUCGUAGAUAUUCGGAAGAACACCAGUGGCGAAGGCGACAUACUGGCCCAUUACUGACGCUGAGGCUCGAAAGCGUGGGGAGCAAACAGGAUUAGAUACCCUGGUAGUCCACGCUGUAAACGAUGAGUGCUAGUUGUCGGCGAGCGAUGCUCGUCGGUGACGCGAGCUACGACAUUAAGACACUCCGCCGUCGGGGAGGUACGGUCGCGAGAAGUUAAACUACAAUAGAAGUUAGACGGACGUGAGACGUGCCGACGGACGACGACGAGGGAGGUUAGG
rnacentral:rRNA from 1 species